GUGGAAUUCCUGGAAGGGACCCUGAGCCACCAGUCCAGCCCCCUGAAGGGCAGAGCAUUCUCUGGAUACCCAGAGAGGUGACCGUGGCAUCCAGGAGUGGACCCGGGGCUGCACCAAGCAUCCCGGAGCCCAGACUGGUCUCGCUUCCUCACCUUUCUGGCUCUGCGGCAAGCGGCUCCUAAUGAUACCUGGCUGAAAGAGACCAAUUAACCUGAGCUGCUGAGGACUCUGAGAAGCUUCCCUUAUGCUGUGGUUAUGUGGGAUUUCCCAGGUCAGUGUCAGUUGUGUAAAAUACAGAGGUCUCCAAUGGAUGAUGGGUAGUUUAUGACACUUCCACUUUACAAUGAUGCAAGAGAGAUACGCAUUUUGUAGAAGUGGAAAUAGUGCUUCGAGUUCCCAUACAACCAUUCUGUUUUUCACUUUCAGUACAAUGUUCAAUAAAUUACAUGAGAUAUUCAACACUUUAUUAUAAGAUAGACUUUGAUGAUUUUACCCAACUAUAGGCUAAUGUAAGUGUGCUCAGUGUGUUUAAGAGAGGCCAGGCUAAGCUAUGAUGUUUGGUAGGUUAGGUGUUCUCAACUGCAUCUUUG
rnacentral:lncRNA from 10 species